rnacentral:rRNA from 1 species
UACAGAGGUCCCAAGCGUUGUUCGGAUUCACUGGGCGUAAAGGGUGCGUAGGUGGUUAGGUAAGUCCGAUGUGAAAUCUCCAGGCUCAACCUGGAAAUGGCAUUGGAUACUAUCUAGCUUGAGGAGUGGAGGGGGACUGGAAUUCUCGGUGUAGCAGUGAAAUGCGUAGAUAUCGAGAGGAACACCAGUGGCGAAGGCGAGUCCCUGGACACUUCCUGACACUGAGGCACGAAAGCUAGGGGAGCAAACAGG